UGUGUACCCGCUCGGACCGUGACGACCGGGUGAAGUGUGUGCGUGUGUGUGCGCGUGUGUGUGUGCGUAUGCGUGUUUGUGUGCGUGAAACAUAAACGGUUGAGGUCCUUUAUUUCUUUUUUAAGAGUGAUGACCACGGGGUGGACGGUGCACUGAGGCUGGGAGUAGGCAUGGUGGUGGAGGAGGCUGGGAGUAGGCAUGGUGGUGGAGGAGGCUGGGAUGACUAUUCUGCUUGGAUGGACAUAAAGAAG